UUUCUUUUUCUUCACUGCUUCAGCCUUCAAGCUCUCAUCAUGCAUGUCCUGGCUGCUUGAUUAGGGUUAUCUUCAAUUUGAACAUAAUUGAACACACUGUAAUCACCAUUNNNCCGUGGUUAGGUUUUUCUUCUCACGUGAGAAUGCCCGCCACUGAUUAUCAGGGAUCAUCAGCGUCUUUUGGUCGUUCGAUUUUGAGCUUCCGCCGUGAUCAGGUUCAUUCCAUGGAAGCCACGCAUGAGGCCUCCAGUCACGAGCUGGAGCUCGAAGCUUUUCAAAGGAAGGUCGCUGACCGGUUCCUGGAUCUGUCUUCGGCCGGGCCGGAUGAUUUGCUUUCGCUAUCGUGGAUCCGGAAGCUGCUCGACUCCUUCAUUUCUUGUCAGGAGGAGUUUAGAGUUAUUCUGUUUAAUAACAGAUCGCAUGUUUAUAAGGCGCCUUUGGAUCGGUGGAUCCACGAGUUUUUUGAGCGGAGUGUGAAGGCUUUGGAUCUUUGUAAUGCGAU
rnacentral:misc_RNA from 1 species